ensembl:lncRNA
AUGGGAAAUUGUUUGGACCGAUCACUCUUCAUGGACAAACAUCUGGGUUCAGGAGACUUUCCNNNNNNNNNNNNNNNNNNNNNNNNNNNNNNNNNNNNNNNNNNNNNNNNNNNNNNNNNNNNNNNNNNNNNNNNNNNNNNNNNNNNNNNNNNNNNNNNNNNNCUCACUGUUUUCUUCACCAGUCAGUUUGGUUUAGUCCCAACAGGUCUUACCAAGUCCUCCAUGGAGCUCUCCCUCCCUCACUGGACACUGCUGAAGGGCCCUGGAGCAAGAAACCCAGAACCUCCACCAGAGAGUCUGAAACAUCUCGUCAUCAGCAUGAGACCCUCACCUUGCAUCAACAGAGGGGCGGCCAAGUUUGAAGUUGAUGGGAAAAUCUUUAGACCGGUUACUCUUCAUGGACACACAGCUGGGUUCAGGACCAGGUCCAGGAUCAGGUUCAUAUCCAGAUGCGGGUCCAGGUCCUGGUCUCUGAUGGAUCCUCUGAGCUGUGGUCUGGCUGUCAUGUUCCCCACACAGAGGGGCUUCAGAGGGAGGGACUCCCUCCUCCGGGUCCUCACCCUGAUUCAUAGCAGAGUCCACACCUUCACACCUCCACAACAACCUGCUGGGAGAGCUCACACAUUAUUUAUCUUCAUCAGGACAAACACACAGACCUCAUUCACCUCAAUACUAAAACUCUCAUGGGACACUUUCUGUGUUGUUGUCGUGUAUCUGUUAAAGUUUAGACUUCUGGAGGAAGACAAACUUUAUUUUACCUUUUUUAAACCCUGUUAACAUGUCAAGAGACGUCAUUUUAAAUGCUCAUCCUAUUAAUGUAGUGUUUUACAAGAUGGAUAUUAUCAGUCAUCCCCCACCAGAUGGAGCUGUUCUCUUUCUCCUCUUGAUCUCCUUCAGGAAGAUCAAGAAGUCAGUAAAACACAGACCAGUAAGAUGACAAUCACAGUCAGCUGUGUUUCAGGAACAAAGGCCCAGGUGAGCUCUAUGGUCCCUGCUGGGUCCUAGUGCCCCUCCGUCUGCUCACUUCCCCUCCUCAUCAGACUGAGCUCCUCUUCUUCAUGACAGUGCCAUCAUUCAAACCAGGGGAGCCCAAUAGGUUGAUUGCGAUCGACGGGUGGAAGUGCCAGUAGAUUGAAAAAAAAUCACGUCAGCGCAUCGCAUCCGUGGUCGAUUACGCGUGAGCUAACGGAAAACUAUUGCUAAUGCUGAUUAGCGAUCCUUGUUUACAAACAGACACAUUUAAUUUCGUUCAAAAGAGACUAUGAGAUGGAAUCCGCUUUAUCCAGAUGUUACUGUACUGCUCGACCAAGCUGUCAAUAAUUUUACAAUUUUUCAAGAUGGACUGCCCAAUUGAUGUUACAAGAAGACAUUUGUUAUAUUUAUCUCUUAUGCUGCAUUUACACCAAAAACAAAAGCGAAUUUUUGUGACACUUUGCUCGCGCGAGUUUACCUGCCCGACUAGUUGUGUUUAUUUCUCUUCAUUCGCGCCUGAAAGGGGGCGUGGCUUAUCCCCAACGCUCUGCAGCUAUUUUCCGUAAAGACAGUUGUCGUUUCCGCUAUCCAUGGCAAUAAACAACCACUAUUUGUGCUCUUUAUUUGUUGUGUGAAUUACACAAAGGUGUUGUGUUUUUGUUCAUGACAUCAACGCAUCUACUUCCAACAUCCAAUUGAGAAUGUGAACUUCCAUAUAUUUCCCUGUUGGGAUGGUGAGCUGAGGGUGAUGGGCAGUGUUGAGUUUCCACCACACAGCAUUUUGCAUUGAAACCAAAAAGUUCCAUCUUGGUCUCAUCUGACCAGAGCACCUUCUUCCACACGAUUGCUGUGUCUCCCACAUGACUUGUGUUAAACUCCUAACAGGAAACAACUUAUGGUUUUCUUUCCACAGCGGCUUUCUUCUUUGCACUCCUCCAUAAAGGACAGAUUUGUGAUGCACACGCUACUAGUUGUCCUGUAGACAGAUUGUCCCCCUCAGCUGUGGAUCUCUGUAGCUCCUCCAGAGUCACAUGGGCCUCCUGGUUGCUGCUCUAUUAAGGACGUCACAGCAGUGGUCGGUGAGUGUAGGUUUACAAUAGCACUAUAGUUUAAUCCAACCAAAGAUACUAGCAGACUAAUGACAGCUGGGUCAAAUAUUUUAAGAAGAAUCAUUUAGUUAAUAUGAGAUCUUGUAAGUAUAUUAAUUCAUUAAGGGCUCCUUAACCAAUAUUCUGGUUUCAUGAAAUUAAAUAGGAUCCAGUGAUCGUGGUUGUGAAACAAAAUGUAAUGGCACUACAUUGCAUUAGAAUUAAUUAAUUAAAAUGAUGCAAAAUCAAACUUUAUCAAAAUAACAGGUGUAGUACAACAAGAACAAACCCGUGAACAUAUGACAUGAUUUGGGGGAUGCUACCAUUCAUAACAGUGGAGUUGUUGAAUAUAAAUAUUCUGAAUUAUUAAUAAUAAAUACUCAAAAGCAAUUUUCAUACAAAGUAAAAGGUGUAGUACAACAAGUACAGGCCCAUUGACAUAUGCCAUGAUUUAGGUGGUUUUAGAAUCCAUGACAGUGGAGUUAUUGAAUAUUCUUUGUCAUAAUUAUUGAACAUAAUUAUUAAAAAUGACUCAAUAGCAACAACAAGAACACGCCCAUGGAUGUAUGCCAUGACUUUGGUCCUGCUACACUUUAUAAGAGUGAAGCUACUGAAUAAUGUUUAUAUGAAAUACUGCGAAAAGCACAUUUCAUCGAAUUAACUACUGUAGUACAACAAUAAUGAGCCCACUUAUAUACAGUAUGAUUUUGGUGAACAGUGAAGGUAUCAAAUAUUUCUGCAAUAUUGUUUUUACGCAUUGUACUUUGCAGACGGUCCCUGUGCACUCGCCUCCAAAGCUGCCGCACAUUAAGACAAAAAUGAUUUGUUCAGCUCGCCGAGUGUCUGUUUUGGUAGAAUGAUGGUUAAUAAGGGUUGUAGUUGGUUGUCUCUACGGUUACAGAGAGGUGUCGUUAGUGUUUUAACGUUGUCUCGCUGACGAGCUUUUCAACCGUGAAGUCUGAAUCUGUGAAUAUCUUGAUAACUUUACCGAACUCCUCCCAGUAGAGAUCCCUGUUUCCCUGUCGAGGUUUUUAAAAGCAUCUUCAAACAAUCACACAUCCCAACCAUCAAUGAUGUCAUUCAACCAAUCACAGCUGCACUUACUGAACUUGUAGACAUGAAGUUCUUCAGUGAGCAGCUCUCUUCUGUAGAAAAGGAGCUUGGUGCUUCACUUCCAUCAGACGCAGUGAAGUGACCUGAGAGUGUUUUUACUCUUCACUCUUCACCUGUUGGGGCGGAACAACUUACACACGUAUCAGUCUCAAGCUGUGAGGUCAAUCAUUUAGCUUCAUGACAAACUGCAGCUUCUCACAAAGGACAUGUUGUUACCUGCAGGAGUCAAUGGCAGUAUUCAUGCACCUUGAACCCUCUGGCUCAUAUAUAUAUACAUGAUAGAUAGAUAGAUAGAUAGAUAGAUAGAUAGAUAGAUAGAUAGAGCACUGUGAAAACAAACUGCGGGAAAGUCAAGAAAAAUAUAUAUUUUUAUUUUCACUAUGAUUUUCUUUUUGUUGUACUUGCAAUUUUUGUUUUGUAUUAUUACACCCCCCCACCCCUCCCUUGUUCAUUGUUACAGGAAACACUGCACCUACUUUCGAAGAGCUGCUAUGUGUCUGUGUGCGUGUGUGGCAUUUUCAAAUGUGGUUUCAAACUAAUUAUUAACUUAAUACAUAACUACAGCUCACUCAGAUGAGAGAGACGACCUCAGGAGCUCUUUCGCUUGCUUCUAAAUACGGACUCACACCAAAUAUGUGGUCUCACUUUGCGAGGUAGUUCAGUGUUUCCCCUAACAUUAUAACAGGGAGCCCCCCCCCGUAUUUUGGGGGGAGUAAAGCCCCCUGAGGCAAAUUUGGGAUUUGGGAUUUUGGGCUAUACAAAAUAAAAGGAAUUUAAUUGAAUAGUUGUUGACGUAGCUGCUGGUGUGAUACUUUAUGUUUAUGCCACAACACAUGAAGUGAAGCGUCCCAGUAUCACCUCCAUCUCCUCUAAGACGACACAUUCACAUCGAAAUGGCUCAUUUGGCAGAUUGGAGAAACAGAGCUUCUUUGGAGCUGAUUAACAGAAUUGUGGGUGUAUUCUUAAUGAUGUACUCCUUCUAAGUCGUUGGUUCCUAUUGUACAUCCUUGAGAGGAAAACCAGAUGUUCUGAUCCGUGAACACGAUUGCUGGCUGCGGAGUCGAGUCCACAUGAGUCUCAAAGUGCUGGAGGUUCUAAAGCUAAAGCCUCUUUGUUGAUGGUGCUGCACUUACGUUGGGCUGUGGAGAACUUCUUAGAGAAGUAACACACCGGGUGAUCAACACCAUCAGAGGCUUCCUGAAGCAAUACAGCACCAGCUCCAUCACCACUGACAUCCACCUCCAGCUGGAAUGUUACACUGUGAAGUCUGCAACUGACGGGACCGGAACUACACAGAAGAGCUUUAACGUCACAAACCAGAUUCCUGCCUGGACU